UGGGGAAUAUUGGACAAUGGGCGAAAGCCUGAUCCAGCCAUGCCGCGUGAGUGAUGAAGGCCCUAGGGUUGUAAAGCUCUUUCACCGGUGAAGAUAAUGACGGUAGCCGGAGAAGAAGCCCCGGCUAACUUCGUGCCAGCAGCCGCGGUAAUACGAAGGGGGCUAGCGUUGUUCGGAAUUACUGGGCGUAAAGCGCACGUAGGCGGAUUGUUAAGUCGGGGGUGAAAUCCCGGGGCUCAACCCCGGAACUGCCUUCGAUACUGGCAAUCUAGAGUCCGGAAGAGGUGAGUGGAAUCCCGAGUGUAGAGGUGAAAUUCGUAGAUAUUCGGAGGAACACCAGUGGCGAAGGCGGCUCACUGGUCCGGUACUGACGCUGAGGUGCGAAAGCGUGGGGAGCAAACA
rnacentral:rRNA from 1 species